UCCUCAUUGGUCUAGUGGUCGUAAGUUCUUACGGACUCACCGGAGUUCACUGAAUCAAAUGCUAAAAAAUAUUAGAUGAUUUCCGCUUGUCAUUGCAAAUAACAAGCGCGGGAGACCUGGGUUCGAUUCCCAGAUGGGGAG